AUUUCAUUUAUUACCUUAAAUAAACCAAACUAUUUUAGUCUUCUACUGCAGGAUAGCCUUUCUGUUUGCCUAAUCAUCCUAAUGUCACCUUUAUGUUCAUUUUUGCAGAUAUUACACUUCCAGUUUAAACUGUCCAGAUGUAUACUGUUUAAAAUAUGCAUGCUUCUCUUAUUCAUCUGAGCACUCCAGCUGUGAAAAUCCAGGCACAUGUUAUCAGUCAAACAAAAUGGAGAAACAUCAUAUUCACACUCUGGGCAGAAAAAUCUUUGUGAGGUGAAGGUGCUCUGAUCUUUGGCAUAGUCUAAUAUAACUUGCUUUGAUCCCCAAUAGCCACAGUCAAUUUUCCAGCACGGUGAUACACCAUGGAAGAGUCUGUACAGGUAGGAGGAGUUAGAAGUGGGUUUGGGGAGUGUAAAUUGUAAAUGAAAUUGGCCAAAUCAUAUUCAAGUUUGGAGGAGUGAAUUUGUGGGGAGACCAAGGACUGCCACAAGUCAUG
rnacentral:lncRNA from 1 species